rnacentral:rRNA from 1 species
GAUGCAGCCAUGCCGCGUGUGUGAAGAAGGCCUUCGGGUUGUAAAGCACUUUCAGUAAGGAGGAAAGGUUAAGUGUUAAUAGCAGCUUAGCUGUGACGUUACUUACAGAAGAAGCACCGGCUAACUCCGUGCCAGCAGCCGCGGUAAUACGGAGGGUGCGAGCGUUAAUCGGAAUUACUGGGCGUAAAGCGUACGCAGGCGGUUUGUUAAGCGAGAUGUGAAAGCCCCGGGCUCAACCUGGGAACUGCAUUUCGAACUGGCAAACUAGAGUGUGAUAGAGGGUGGUAGAAUUUCAGGUGUAGCGGUGAAAUGCGUAGAGAUCUGAAGGAAUACCGAUGGCGAAGGCAGCCACCUGGGUCAACACUGACGCUCAUGUACGAAAGCGUGGGGAGCAAACAGGAUUAGAUACCCUGGUAGUCCACGCCGUAAACGAUGUCUACUAGAAGCUCGGGUCUUCGGACUUGUUUUUCAAAGCUAACGCAUUAAGUAGACCGCCUGGGGAGUACGGCCGCAAGGUUAAAACUCAAAUGAAUUGACGGGGGCCCGCACAAGCGGUGGAGCAUGUGGUUUAAUUCGAUGCAACGCGAAGAACCUUACCUACACUUGACAUACAGAGAACUUACCAGAGAUGGUUUGGUGCCUUCGGGAA